rfam:Nicotiana sylvestris Nsyl_contig110758, whole genome shotgun sequence.
AUCGCUCGUUGCUCUUAUCAAUUGAAUGAUCCGGUGUAUUGUUCGGAUCGCGGCGAUGUGGCAAAUAACUGCCCGCGACGUCAUGAGAAGUCCAUUGAACCUUAUCAUUUGGAGGAAGGAGAAGUCGUAAUAAGUUUCCGUAGGUGAACCUGCAGAAG